CUGCUGCCUCCCGUAGGAGUUUGGUCCGUGUCUCAGUACCAAUGUGGGGGACCUUCCUCUCAGAACCCCUAUCCAUCGUCGGUUUGGUGGGCCGUUACCCCGCCAACUGCCUAAUGGAACGCAUGCCUAUCUAUCAGCGAUGAAUCUUUAGCAAAUAUCCCCAUGCGGGGCCCCUGCUUCAUGCGGUAUUAGUCCGACUUUCGCCGGGUUAUCCCCCUCUGAUAGGUAAGUUGCAUACGCGUUACUCACCCGUGCGCCGGUCGCCGGG
rnacentral:rRNA from 1 species